rnacentral:hammerhead_ribozyme from 1 species
AUCCAGCUGACGAGUUCCAAAUAGAACGAAACGAGCGUUCUGGAU